AAGAAACUGUUUAAAGAAGAAAAAAAAAGAUGAAGAAAUAGACUUUAACUUGUGUUACAUUUUAUUAUACUAUUAACAAAUUUUAAAAAUAUAUUCUUUUACCAAAGAUGCGAAUUUAUUAUCAAUCAUGCCAUUUGAAGGAAACGUGCAUGUAUAGAAAUUGGUUUAAUCUUAAGCUGAUGGGAUGGUUAAGGGGUUCUCAUCUUAAUGAUACAAUUUGUAAGCGCUCUUGAAAA
rnacentral:lncRNA from 1 species